AUUGAACGCUGGCGGCAUGCCUUACACAUGCAAGUCGAACGGCAGCGCGGGAGCAAUCCUGGUGGCGAGUGGCGAACGGGUGAGUAAUAUAUCGGAACGUGCCCAGUCGUGGGGGAUAACGUAGCGAAAGCUACGCUAAUACCGCAUACGAUCUAUGGAUGAAAGCGGGGGAUCGCAAGACCUCGCGCGAUUGGAGCGGCCGAAAUCAGAUUAGGUAGUUGGUGAGGUAAAGGCUCACCAAGCCGACGAUCUGUAGCUGGUCUGAGAGGACGACCAGCCACACUGGGACUGAGACACGGCCCAGACUCCUACGGGAGGCAGCAGUGGGGAAUUUUGGACAAUGGGCGCAAGCCUGAUCCAGCAAUGCCGCGUGCAGGAUGAAGGCCUUCGGGUUGUAAACUGCUUUUGUACGGAGCGAAAAGGCUUCCACUAAUACUGGGGGCUCAUGACGGUACCGUAAGAAUAAGCACCGGCUAACUACGUGCCAGCCGCCGCGGUAAGAC
rnacentral:rRNA from 1 species